UCAGCUCAGGCUGCUGUGACAAAGCACUGCAGGCCAUGGUUUCCCAUCAAAAGCCUGUUCUCUCUCAGUUCUAAAGAGGCAGCCCAGGAUGUGUUGAGUUACAUCGACUGCACAGCCCAUGUCUCUUCCACUUGGCUGUUCAGCGUGAUCUCCCCUCUCCUCGACACGGCCAGCCCACACCGGCCUCCGUGGCCGCCCUCCCCAUGGCAGGCAGGGAUGGAGGCAGGCUGAGGCACCUGUCCUCUGAGGCCUGCGGAGGCUCUCUCUCCUGUGCUUCUCUGAGGAUGUCGCUCCGCCCUACUCAAGGAGUACUAGACCCCUCUGUCUGCUGAGGUCAGCAUCCCAGAACACGGCUCCAGCUGACGAUUGCACUUGGCACCCAUAUCCUCCGUGCGACAACCUGGUGUCAGCAGUCUCG
ensembl:lncRNA novel transcript, antisense to OCA2